UACGAAGGGUGCAAGCGUUACUCGGAAUUACUGGGCGUAAAGGGUGCGUAGGUGGUUUGUUAAGUCUGCUGUGAAAUCCCCGGGCUCAACCUGGGAAUGGCAGUGGAUACUGGCAAGCUAGAGUGCGGUAGAGGGUAGUGGAAUUCCCGGUGUAGCGGUGAAAUGCGCAGAGAUCGGGAGGAACACCCGUAGCGAAGGCGGCGCUCUGGGCCGGUACUGACGCUGAGGAGCGAAAGCGUGGGGAGCAAACAGG
rnacentral:rRNA from 1 species